AGAGUUUGAUCCUGGCUCAGAUUGAACGCUUUCGGCAUGCCUUACACAUGCAAGUCGAACGGCAGCACGGGAUCUUGCUCCUGGUGGCGAGUGGCGAAGGGGUGAGUAAUAUAUCGGAACGUACCCUAGAGUGGGGGAUAACGCAGCGAAGGUUGCGCUAAUACCGCAUACGAUCUACGGAUGAAGGUGGGGGAUCGCAACACCUCGUGCUCAUGGAGCGGCCGAUAUCUGAUUAGCUAGUUGGGGGGGUAAAGGCCUACCAAGGCAUCGAUCAGUAGCUGGUCUGAGAGGACGACCAGCCACACUGGAACUGAGACACGGUCCAGACUCCUACGGGAGGCAGCAGUGGGGAAUUUUGGACAAUGGGGGCAACCCUGAUCCAGCAAUGCCGCGUGAGUGAAGAAGGCCUUCGGGUUGUAAAGCUCUUUUGUCAGGGAAGAAACGGUGAGGGCUAAUAUCCUUUACUAAUGACGGUACCUGAAGAAUAAGCACCGGCUAACUACGUGCCAGCAGCCGCGGUAAUACGUAGGGUGCAAGCGUUAAUCGGAAUUACUGGGCGUAAAGCGUGCGCAGGCGGUUAUGUAAGUCAGAUGUGAAAUCCCCGGGCUCAACCUGGGAAUGGCAUUUGAGACUGCAUGGCUAGAGUGUGUCAGAGGGGGGUNGANUUCCNCGUGUNGCCGUGNNNUGCGUNGUGAUGUGGAGAAUUCCGAGGGCGGAAGGCAGCCCCCCUGGGGUUACCCCGAACGCUCAUGCACGAAAGCGGUGGGAGCCAAACAGGAUUAGAUACCCUGGUUGUCCCCCCCCUAAACGAUGUCUAUUAGUUGUCGGGACUUAAUUGUCUUGGUAACGCAGCUAACGCGUGAAGUAGACCGCCUGGGGAGUACGGUCGCAAGGAUUAAAACUCAAAGGAAUUGACGGGGACCCGCACAAGCGGUGGAUGAUGUGGAUUAAUUCGAUGCAACGCGAAAAACCUUACCUACCCUUGACAUGUACGGAACCUCUGAGAGAUUAGAGGGUGCUCGAAAGAGAGCCGUAACACAGGUGCUGCAUGGCUGUCGUCAGCUCGUGUCGUGAGAUGGUGGGUUAAGUCCCGCAACGAGCGCAACCCUUGUCAUUAGUUGCUACGAAAGGGCACUCUAACGAGACUGCCGGUGACAAACCGGAGGAAGGUGGGGAUGACGUCAAGUCCUCAUGGCCCUUAUGGGUAGGGCUUCACACGUCAUACAAUGGUACAUACAGAGGGCCGCCAACCCGCGAGGGGGAGCUAAUCCCAGAAAGUGUAUCGUAGUCCGGAUUGUAGUCUGCAACUCGACUACAUGAAGUUGGAAUCGCUAGUAAUCGCGGAUCAGCAUGUCGCGGUGAAUACGUUCCCGGGUCUCGCAAACACCGCCCGUCA
rnacentral:rRNA from 1 species